CAUGUACUCCCUUCGUCCGGAAAUACUUGUCAUCAAAAUGGAUAAAAGAGGAUGUAUCUAGACGCAUUUUAAUUCUAGAUACACCUCUUUUUAUCCAUUUUGAUGACAAGUAUUUUCGGACGGAGGGAGUAGUUG
rfam:Triticum aestivum genome assembly, contig: Triticum_aestivum_CS42_TGACv1_scaffold_063620_1DL